rnacentral:lncRNA from 10 species
GGUGAGAACCAUAGGUCUACGUGAAUGCUGAGGUCUUCGAAGUGGACAACAGGUGCUAGUAUUCCUAAUGAAUAGGUGCUGAGACUGAAGGAUGAUACUAUAAGACAAAUAUGGAUCAGACACUUCAGAGAAGCCUUGGUUUUCAAAGAGGAGAAGAUUGGCAAAGAGAAACGUGAAGGAUAGUUCAUCUACCUUAGGUGUGGCAGUAAAAGGAAAAACAGCCUACCUGUGAAAGAGCUCUAAGGCCAGCCAAGUUCCAGUUGAACAAGGAUGUGAAAGGAUUUCUGAAAGAAGAGGUUGGGAAUUUGCUGAUGGAAGAUUUUGGUUGAUGUAGGGAAUAGUAGAUGGGUUUGCAAGGACAGGGAGUAGAGAUAUUGGAUCACAUUAGAGAUUUUUCCAAGCAGCAUAGGACAAGUGUCUAGGUGAAAAUGGAUGACCUAGGAGGCUUCAAGUGGUGAUUUAUGGAAACUGGGAGAUGCAUGUGAUGGUAAUACUGAGUGUCAACUUGAUUGGAUUGAAGGAUACAAAGUAUUGAUCCUGGGUGUGUCUGUGAGGGUGUUGCCAAAGGAGAUUAACAUUUGAGUCAGUGGACUGGGAAAGACAGACUUAUCCUUAAUGUGGGUAGGCACCAUCUAAUCAGCUGCCAGCAUGGCUAGAAUAUAAGCAGGCAGAAAAAUGUGAAAAGAGAGACAGACCUAGCCUCCCAGCCUACAUUAUCUCCUGUUCUGGAUGCUUCCUGCCCUGGAAUAUCAGACUCCAAGUGCUUCAGUUUUGGAACUCAGACUGGCUCUCCUUGCUCCUCAGCCUGAGACCUUGUGAUCAUGCGGGAUUUGAAGCAAAUAUUCAAAAGAUGAAGUUUGGAUGAAGAGCAACACAAGAAGGAAAGAUACAAUCAAGUUUCAUGUCAGUUGUCUCCCUGAUGCCUAGCCUGACUAUACAAAGCUGAAGUCUCUGCUAGAAUUCUCUGUGAGGACUACUGUAAUCAAUUGUUUUCUGGGAUAUUUGAUUCUCACCUGGAUUGGACCAGCCCUUCUCAAAGUCUGCAACUUUGCCUCUGGAUGUUCCAAGGAUUGACAGUUUGAGAUAAUUUGGCACAGUGAAAAAAGCACUUGGAUUUGGAAUUAGAGGAUUUGGGUGUUUUUUUACCUUCAGUAGGGCAGUUGCUGAAGUCAAGUGUUAUAAAAUAUCUGUCGAGUGUUAUUAAAAAAUACUGGCCCUACUUACUUCAGGAACAAAUAAGAUGAUGAAAGUUCUUUAUGAAUAAUAGAGGAUGGGAUAAAUGCUAGUGAUUAUUGUCAUUAUAAUUCCUAUCAAGAUUGGAAACAAUGUUCAGAGAGGCAGAGAUAUUAUAGUACUUGGGGGCCAGUAACAGAAGAAGCUCUGCCAGGUAGGCUGGAGAAGCACC